AUACGGAGGGUGCAAGCGUUAAUCGGAAUUACUGGGCGUAAAGCGUACGUAGGCGGUCCGUUAAGUUAGAUGUGAAAGCCCCGGGCUUAACCUGGGAACUGCAUUUAAAACUGGCGGACUAGAGUUGAGUAGAGGGGAGUGGAAUUUCAGGUGUAGCGGUGAAAUGCGUAGAGAGCUGAAGGAAUACCAGUGGCGAAGGCGGCCCCCUGGACUGAGACUGACGCUGAGGUGCGAAAGCGUGGGGAGCAAACAGGAUUAGAAACCCUAGUAGUCC
rnacentral:rRNA from 1 species